rnacentral:rRNA from 1 species
UUAAAACUUUUAACAACGGAUCUCUUGGUUCUGGCAUCGAUGAAGAACGCAGCGAAAUGCGAUAAGUAAUGUGAAUUGCAGAAUUCAGUGAAUCAUCGAAUCUUUGAACGCACAUUGCGCCCCCUGGUAUUCCGGGGGGCAUGCCUGUUCGAGCGUCA